CCUACGGGAGGCUGCAGUGGGGAAUAUUGCACAAUGGGCGCAAGCCUGAUGCAGCCAUGCCGCGUGUAUGAAGAAGGCCUUCGGGUUGUAAAGUACUUUCAGCGAGGAGGAAGGCAUUGAGGUUAAUAACCUCAGUGAUUGACGUUACUCGCAGAAGAAGCACCGGCUAACUCCGUGCCAGCAGCCGCGGUAAUACGGAGGGUGCAAGCGUUAAUCGGAAUUACUGGGCGUAAAGCGCACGCAGGCGGUCUGUCAAGUCGGAUGUGAAAUCCCCGGGCUCAACCUGGGAACUGCAUUCGAAACUGGCAGGCUAGAGUCUUGUAGAGGGGGGUAGAAUUCCAGGUGUAGCGGUGAAAUGCGUAGAGAUCUGGAGGAAUACCGGUGGCGAAGGCGGCCCCCUGGACAAAGACUGACGCUCAGGUGCGAAAGCGUGGGGAGCAAACAGGAUUAGAUACCCCGGUAGUC
rnacentral:rRNA from 1 species